rnacentral:lncRNA from 1 species
GGAAAGUAAUCAAGGAAAAAGAUACUAGUUAAAACCGGUUCAGAGGUCUCAGAAAGGAAUUGAGACCUUCAACAUGCUCUUCCAGUAGCAGGAACUCAUGAGAAGCAUAGUAAAAAAACAGCAUAUGAAACACAGUAGAGGAACUCAAAUAAACAUAGUAAAAGAGCUGAUAAGAAACCCAAUGGAAGAAACUUAUAAGAAUAGUAGGAGAAGUAUAUUAAACGGAUUAGAAGAAACUUAACUAGAACACAAUAGAGAAACAUAUAAAGAAUAUAGUAGAGAAACAUAUAAAUAUCACAAAAAAACACUAAAUCGAAAAAAUAUAAAGGUUUUGAAAGCAUAACUUUUGAAAUAAAUAUCCAAAAAUCAUUUAAAAUUUCAUGGAAAACACGGAUCCAGAAUAUUUCUAAAGAAAAAUAAAAGAACCUCAAAAGCUAGGGUUUCAGAGGAACCCAAACUGUGAGAAAGGCUUGGAUAGUUGUUGAUCUAAGCAGGGGGGGUCGAAGCCAGAAUCGAAACAUACAUGGCUUGCUGGAGCAAGGUCGGAGAUGGCCAUAAAACUUGAAUCAAUGAGGUCUGGAUGAAUCUUCUUCGUGGUCAGACCAUGAAACCUCAUCAACCAAACGUGUAUGCACCAUGAAGGCUGGUAGGUGGUAUGACCACCAUACAUUCAGGCCAGGAGGUGGCCAGAGAAGGUGAGUGAAACUCAUCGGAGCGGAGGGGAAGGGGUAAGGUUACAGAGAGAACCAGAGAUAGAGAGAUAG